AUCAGAACACAGGAACCAUGCACAUUUACAAAUGUGAAGCUAAAUGUAAUUAAUUAGUCACUUAAAUAGAUGUAAAGCCCUAAGAGGGCAGCUGUGGCACUUCUAGCAAUAGUACUACUGUUGCUGUUCGUUAGCAAAACAUCUUCACAAUGACAACCAUUCACUACCACGCUUUACAGUGUCCAUAAUAGGAGCGAGGGCCAGGAUUACGAUUGUCUGCCCGGGCUGAGAGGGACUGUGGUUCUAUCUCAGUAAGAGGGAGAAUUGGGAUAAACAGCUCACAGAUUAUAGACACUGAGUUGAUGCGUCUGUCACUUUGGAUGAUAUCACAGGAGAGAGGUUGUAACUAAUCUAAAUUGGCCAGUUCAGCGAGCCACUUUCUCUGCACCUACCACACACAGCAUCAUCAAGCUGUUCCCUUGUCUAGAGAACCUGAAACAUGAACAGCAUCAGAGUCUUUCUCCAGCCACUCGUUUUCCUUCUGAUUGGAGUAGCUUCACACACCAGCAAGGCUCAGAACAAUUCAUCUAACUUCAACUCCACAAUUCCAGAAACAAACAACAGCACAACCCUCCCAUGCAACUGCCAGGACUGCCUGAUUGACCCCCUGUUGGUUUUAAUAGCAUUAGCCUGUGCUGGGGGCCUGGUCCUCAGUCUGCUGGUCACCACAGUGACUCUGGCCUGCCAGGUGUGCCAUUCGAGGCAUCAGGCCGGUGCCCCACGCCCCGCACGCAGCAACAUGGACCUAGUGAGUGGCACGGGCUACUGGGGCACGGACCACUCAGAGGGGGGAAUAGUAGGGCCCUGCGACGCAAGCGUCAUGUUGGAGGAGGUUGGGGUGGAUGGAAAGGAGGAUAAAAAAGAGGAGGAAGAGAGAGAGGAAGAUAGAGAGGAAGAGUUGGAGGAAAGAGAGCAGUGGAAUGCUGCAGAUGAAGACCAAACUGUGGAUUCAGGUACUACUGGAGAAAUGGCCAUGCAGAUGCAGAGUCCCAGGGAUUCAUUUUUGGAAGUUCCACAGGAUCUAGAGAACAUGCCUCUAGUGGUGUGAAUACAUUGUUGCUUACACUCCUUCACCAGCCUCACAGAGCCAUGGCCUGGCUAGGAGCUGAACUUCACUCAGGCACCGAUAUUAACAGGCCAGCUCAGCUCCAGUCUAGUGCCGCAACAAGUUAAGAGCAGUUUUUUCUAUUGUCAUUAUUAAGCCUGCUACAUGUAAUCAAUUUAGGAGCAUUUACAUUUGUUUUGUCAAACUUUGUUAGAUAAACUCACAUUCGCUUUGUAAAAUACAUUUAUCUGAUGUAUAUUAAUUUCUGUUAAAUCUGAGGUUAAGAUUUACACUUAGUGGCCAGUUUAUUUAGGUAACCCCUUCUAAAGCCAUGUCGGACAAGACUUUGCCUUUUGCCUCCAGAACAACCUGAAUUCUUCAGAGCAUGGAAUCUGCAAGGUGUCGCAUGCGUUCCAAAGGGGAAUUUCUAUCGAACAAGCUCAGAUAUGCUCAUUGUUUGCAGGACCGAUUAAUUUUUGUGAACUGGUUGGUGUACCUAAUAAACUGUCCACUAAU